rnacentral:rRNA from 3 species
GAGUAUAAGCCAAUGGAGCUUGGAAGGCUUCCGCAGAUGGUGUCCAUCAUACGUGGUGUUCUUAAGACCUCGAGUCUCGCUCGUCAGGCGUAGCAUUGAGUUUGCCAGGUUAGCUGUCGUGCGGGGGUUCGGCUUGGAGGUCUCAGGCUUCGGCCGAAGGGCUUCCGGCUGUCCCCUUUUGAAUGGACGUUCAGAGCUCUUGUGUCUAAUGCGGUUAUGCCCACCACAGCACGUUGUGAGGUCACCCACAGGCUCAAACUGCCGAUCGCGUAUCCGGGACGAUGGCAACGAUGCGUUGUUGGCUCGUGCACACACGUGCGCGGUCACACGCGUGUCUAGUCCUGGGUCGGGCGGCGACCGAGAUAAACCUGGUAUGAUCCUCUUGCGACGAGCUGCUUUCUGGCCAGACCGACGCCCAGGCGCCUCCACUGUGCCGGAGGCGUCAACCCCAGGCGGUGUGAACCCAGCUGCAUUAUGCAAGGUCUCUCAGCCGGGCGUUGGUCUGAGUGGUGUCAAGUCCAGCACCAUCGGUCACGUCUCGAAACACGGGCCAAGGAGUAUAGCAUGUGUGCAAGUCUAAGGGUCUCACAAAACCCGAAGGCGAAGUGAAAGCAAGACUGUGGCGGGGGAGCCACGGCAAACCCGCCGGCCAGGUGCGGCGCCUAGUGCGUCGUCCGGCUUCAAGCAGAGCUGAUCCUGUUUUCUCGGUUAAUUCUUGGUGCAGGCGCAAGCUCCGGGCUCACGUACAGCACUGGUCACGCCUCGUGCGUGGCUGUGUUGUGAGC